rnacentral:rRNA from 1 species
UACGUAGGGUGCAAGCGUUAAUCGGAAUUACUGGGCGUAAAGCGUGCGUAGGCGGCCAACUAAGUCAGACGUGAAAUCCCUCGGCUUAACCGGGGAACUGCGUCUGAUACUGGAUGGCUUGAGUUUGGGAGAGGGAUGCGGAAUUCCAGGUGUAGCGGUGAAAUGCGUAGAUAUCGGAAGGAACAUCAGUGGCGAAAGCGACUUCCUGGACCAAUACUGACGCUCAUGUGCGAAAGCGUGGGGAGCAAACAGG